ensembl:lncRNA
GACCUGAGAGUGCCCACCACUAGGGUGCAAGUGCUUACUUGUGGAGCUUGGGGCCUGAACAGUCAGCUCACAGUAGAUGGUGAAGGAUGAAUCUACUCUCACCCCACAGCUCUGCCUGCUUGGACACUCCAGAAAGGAUGCUGUAACCCAGGGCUGGUUGGAAUGGGCAGCAGAAACAUGCAGACCUACCCCUGGGGGGCUGCUCUCAGCAGAGCACAGCCAGCGGUAAUCCAAAUCACAGGUGAUGGGCUCUCAACAGCCUGACUGAGGACAGACAGUGGGUAAGCACAUGGACCAUACGUGAAAGAGCACAGAGGAGUGGAGACCUAGAGGCGAGCAUGGGAGAUAAGGAAGCAGGCAUGGGAACAGACCAUGUGGAACCUUCUAGUCAACUGCAGGAACCUUAGCUGAGGACAAGGAAAGCCACUGAUUCCACCGGAGGCCUUACAAAUAGCUGUGAAAAGAAGAGAAGCGAAAAGC